rnacentral:rRNA from 1 species
GAUGAACGCUGGCGGCGUGCCUAAUACAUGCAAGUCGAGCGAACAGAUGAGGAGCUUGCUCCUCUGACGUUAGCGGCGGACGGGUGAGUAACACGUGGAUAACCUACCUAUAAGACUGGGAUAACUUCGGGAAACCGGAGCUAAUACCGGAUAAUAUAUUGAACCGCAUGGUUCAAUAGUGAAAGACGGUUUUGCUGUCACUUAUAGAUGGAUCCGCGCCGCAUUAGCUAGUUGGUAAGGUAACGGCUUACCAAGGCAACGAUGCGUAGCCGACCUGAGAGGGUGAGCGGCCACACUGGAACUGAGACACGGUCCAGACUCCUACGGGAGGCAGCAGUAGGGAAUCUUCCGCAAUGGGCGAAAGCCUGACGGAGCAACGCCGCGUGAGUGAUGAAGGUCUUCGGAUCGUAAAACGCUGUUAUUAGGGAAGAACAAAUGUGUAAGUAACUAUGCACGUCUUGACGGUACCUAAUCAGAAAGCCACGGCUAACUACGU